GUUGCCCAAUCACACUUCAUGUCAUAAGUACCUUGUUCUAAAUGUUGUUGUAGGUUAAUGGUUUCCGUGCAAAGUUGCAACACUGCAGAGCAUUGUUAGACAAGAUACCUGGGAUAGAAAUGAGCUGUGAAGAACAGAAGGAACUUUUAAUUAAGUGUAAAACCCAAUACACCAAAAAAUGUGAGCUGCUGAGAAAUUACAGAAAUCUACCAGUGUUUGCAGAAGCUUUUGUCAAGGAGACAAAAUAGUUGAAAUUUUGUGAUGUCAAAAAUACUAGUUGGAAGAUGCAGAGGUUAAAAAACAACUGAGGAUGCCUUUGUGCUGUUGGAAGGAGACUUCAUUCCCUUGGAAUGAGAGAAAAUUCCUGCCUCUAGAGAAGAGUACUUGAUCAUUCUUUUUGUUAUCAGGUGGGGGAAUGUUUGCUUCACAAACUGUGAUUAACCCUGGUGUUUAUUAGACCAACCCUCAAUCAGACUGCACAGUCAACCUCUUAAAUGCAGACUUUCCAUUUUCACCAAUACUUUCACCUCUAAGCUUAUUCCAUAUGACAAACAGGUCUGAAAGAAAAAUCUUUCUGGAAAUCAGAUUGAAAUCACUUUCAAUAAAUUUUUGUCAAAAAUUAUAUAUUCUUAACUUUGAUCAAUUUCCCUGUAAGCUUUGCCUUUUUUUAGAGUAUAACUAACAACCAAUGUUCUUCUUCAUUACUUUUAUUCACUCCAAAGAAAACAUUAUGUAAGUUGAAAUUGAUAGUACCACUGUUUUGACUGAGGAAGAAGUAAAUACAGAGACAUACUGAGGAA
rnacentral:lncRNA from 1 species